AGUGAACGCUGGCGGUAGGCCUAACACAUGCAAGUCGAACGGCAGCACAGUAAGAGCUUGCUCUUACGGGUGGCGAGUGGCGGACGAGUGAGGAAUACAUCGGAAUCUACUUUUUCGUGGGGGAUAACGUAGGGAAACUUACGCUAAUACCGCAUACGACCUACGGGUGAAAGCAGGGGAUCGUCGGACCUUGCGCGAUUGAAUGAGCCGAUGUCGGAUUAGCUAGUUGGCGGGGUAAAGGCCCACCAAGGCGACGAUCCGUAGCUGGUCUGAGAGGAUGAUCAGCCACACUGGAACUGAGACACGGUCCAGACUCCUACGGGAGGCAGCAGUGGGGAAUAUUGGACAAUGGGCGCAAGCCUGAUCCAGCCAUACCGCGUGGGUGAAGAAGGCCUUCGGGUUGUAAAGCCCUUUUGUUGGGAAAGAAAAGCAGCAGGUUAAUACCCCGCUGUUCUGACGGUACCCAAAGAAUAAGCACCGGCUAACUUCGUG
rnacentral:rRNA from 1 species